UGAUACUUACCUCAAUUUCCAAAAUACGAUUAUGCCAGAACUUUGAUAAGUAUAGAUCUUGGAAAGGACUUUAAUUAGUAUGUUCUAUGUUGACUUGACAGGAACAUGGUUUCCAAAAUCUUAUGUAUAACAAUUAGUUUGUAGAGUUUGAUCGGUUUAAGAUAGAUAAUGCAGAUUCGGUCAACCUCAGCCAAAGGAAGAAACACUAUCUAGACACUCCACUCCAUUUUAGGUCCUAACGGGCUCCAGGGCCAAUAGACCGGUCCCAUUACUGGUAUAAUGGUCCAGCAUCCCAGUAAUGCUGAGUUAAUCCAUAGUGGAUUUGCAGGGUGAGAAUUUUUAACACGUAUUACUAUUGCUUGAUCAAUUGAAGUAUUGAAUUGGCAUCAUCCAGCUAAAAAACAUGCAUUUGUUAGUUAUAGAAAUUUAAGUUGUAUGCCAUAUUUUAGGUGGUUAAUUUUGUUUAAUUUGCUUUAUGAUCACUUUGCAAACUGGCAUUUUCUGAUUGCAAUACAACUUUCUUAUAUGGUUUACAUGGUACUGUUGUGGUAAAUGAAGGUGAUUCAUGUAAUGAUCGAGGUUAGUGUACGUGCCAGUCUGUAUUCAAUCUUUGAUUUGUAAACCUACUUCACUGAUUGACUUCAGUUUUCUAGAUGGCCUUUGAAUCUGUAUUAUAGAUGCAGGCUAAACUUAUGUGUGAUUCAAGAAUGAUAGAGAUGUUGCUAUAAUGUUUGGAAUUGUAACCAUGGUGCUUCAUAAUUGAACAGUAAGAUGGUCAUCCUUUCUUGUGCA